CCAUUUGCUGUUUUUCCUGUAGAGAAGGCUGUUGUCAUGAGAAAGGGAGCAGUCUGAGGCUUUAACUAACACUGAUUCUUUGGUAGUUUGGAAAAGAGCAAUGGCAGUCCAUGACAGAACAAGGCUUGAAUUGGCAUGGUUGCAGACACUUGCACCACAUAUAGUCAUAUACAAUGCUCAAGAAAAAAC